CGGCGGCGGCGGCAGCGGCGUCGUCCUCUCGAUUCAGAGCCGGGACGUGAACAAUAAUAUACGAACGCGGAAAUCCGGUAUCAAAAUAUUAUAAUAACAUAAAUAUAGAUAUAGAUAUAGGUGUAAUAAUAGAAUAUUCUUGUUAUUAUUGUUAUUAUUGUAUCACUUAACCUCCCGCAGUGGGGAUGACGCGAGCAUAUAUACAACCGUAGGAUAUCCGCGAUGUUGCCGCGGUAU